GAUGAACGCUGGCGGCGUGCUUAACACAUGCAAGUCGAACGAGAAGUGAAUACGGAAAUCUUCUGGCGGAUGGCGUUAGUUCGAGUGGCGGGCGGGUGAGUAACGCCUGGGUAUUCGGGCGCAUUCAGGGGGAUAACAGUUGGAAACGACUGUUAAUACCGCAUAAGACCACAGCAGCGCAUGUUGCGGCGGUAGAAACUGCGGUGGUAUGGGAUGGACCCGCGUUCGAUUAGACAGUUGGCGGGGUAAGGGCCCACCAAAGCGACGAUCGAUAGACGAGCUGAGAGGAUGACCCGCCACAUCUGGACUGAGACACGGCCCGAACUCCUAGGGGAGGGGGCCGAGGCGAAUAUAGCCCAAUGGGGGAAACCCUGAUGCAGCGCCGGCGGGUGAGUGAAGAAGUAUGUCGGUAAGUAAAGCUCUAUCAGCAGCGAAGAAAAUGACGGUACCUGAGUAAGAAGCCCCGGCUAACUACGUG
rnacentral:rRNA from 1 species